rnacentral:rRNA from 1 species
UACGGGGGGGGCAAGCGUUGUUCGGAAUUACUGGGCGUAAAGCGCACGUAGGCGGCUUUGUAAGUUAGAGGUGAAAGCCCAGAGCUCAACUCUGGAAUUGCCUUUAAGACUGCAUCGCUUGAAUCAUGGAGAGGUGAGUGGAAUUCCGAGUGUAGAGGUGAAAUUCGUAGAUAUUCGGAAGAACACCAGUGGCGAAGGCGACUCACUGGACAUGUAUUGACGCUGAGGUGCGAAAGCGUGGGGAGCAAACAGG